AGUCGUGUGUACAUCAUUGGGAAUGGAGGGAAAUAAAUGACUGGAUGGUCGCUGCUUUUUAAGUUUCAAAUUGACAUUCCAGACAAGCGGUGCCUGAGCCCGUGCCUGUCUUCAGAUCUUCACAGCACAGUUCCUGGGAAGGUGGAGCCACCAGCCUCUCCCUGACAAGCAAAGUGGAUCAGCAAAGGCUGCAGUCACCAGCAUCUUUUCCAACCUUAAUGAACUGUAUCCUCAAAAGAACACUAUCAGACUGGCUCUGCCGACUUCCAGUUCUGGAACAAGAUGGUUAAACUCAUUUUUCCCUGCUCUGCUCCUCUAAAUACAACUAAGUACCUUGGAAACUAUUCAGCAGACAAUGAUAAAGGGCUCUGAAAGCUAGAAGAAAAGGUGUACUUGCAAGAAACCUCAGGACUUGAGUAACAGCAACAUGGCAGGCCAGAAAGCAGACCCAGGGAGGAUAGCACAUGUCUUCGGCUACACUGGUGAAGGCAUCGUGCCUGCUCCACAGCACAUUUUUAUUCAAGAACAAUCCAUUUCACAGAUGAAGAAACAGACUCAGUGAGCACGUGAUCACUUCUCACAACUAAUGGAGCCAAGAUUCUGUCCUUAUGGCUCCAGAGACCUCUUUUUUUUCCCACUGUACCACAACACUCACCAGGACUGGAGUGCCACCUAUGACCUCAUUGCAUAAUGGAUGGCUUGUCCUCAAAUGGGCCCGGUCUUGGACGAGCCUGAGGAUGUCUACAAGUGGAAGAAAAGAAGCCACUGGAGCAGAAGGUGGGGAGGAUAAAAUUUGGAGCAAGAUUCUCAAGGAAGCAACAAGAUCCUAAGCUCACCAAGCUCCUGUAUCUACUGGAAAAUGGAAGUCCAGCCUUACCAACUUGUGAACCUUGUCUGAAGGGAGCCAGGGCCUGCCAAUGGAACCACCUCCAGGAGCUGCAACUGCUGUUGUCAUUAAUACCAUUGUGUCUAUUUUUUGAGAGAGAUAAACUUUUCAUGGUGUUACAUUUUGGAAAAAAAAAAAAAAGACUAGGUGAACAGUCAGGUAGGAAAGCAGCAUAACAGUCCCUUAAAUUCUGAUCAUGUAGGACAUUCUUCUUUGCCCUGGGCCUGGGAAAAUGCAGCAUGUUCCAGAGCAAAAGUCCUAAUGAGGGGAACUAAACCAGUGGGACCCAAACCAAUGUCCUGGCUCACUGAGGACCCGUUAGAACCAAAUCUCUGGGUGUGGACAGGCUCCCAUACUUUUCAAAAAUUCCCCUGAUGACUAAUGAACAACCAGAGGUAAGAACCAGUGGCCCAGAGGAAUAACCAGCCCAGCUGUUGUACGAGCUCGCUAAGCUGGCUCAGGUCAAUGUUGAAUUCUCUGCUAGGCAGCUCCUCAUAAGAACUGGCAGAGAUGGUUCUUACACAACAACAGGUGACAACUCCAGACUCUGCCGGAAGUUCCAGGAUCUGGGUUCCCGGACAAUGCAUGACACUCAGUCCAGCAUUGCAGGUGGAAGAGCGACGGUGAAAAGACCAAAGUCAAUUAAAAUGUGUUAACCAAAACAGGAAACAUGAGUGAGGUGAUUGAGAGUGUGUUUAACUUAGAUGUGUGAUUUUAUCAAUACUUUCAUUGUUCAAAAACUCUUAUUUUUUAAAGAUAUUUUCAAAACAAAUCCAAACUUUACUUUUCAUUCCAAAUUCGUGUUCCGUCUAUACUUGCAUUUGGGGAAAGAUUGAAACAAAACACAAAUACUUUGUAGCAAUGUUGGAGUGUCAUGUUCUUUGCAGAGGGACAGGAAAAAAAAAGGAUUUUUUUUUCUUAUCAAGAGAUACUGUUUCCUCAAGGAGAAAGGGCAUCAGUCCAAGGCACUGGUUUGCUCAAAAAGAUUAGUAAAGAACAAGCAUAUUUUGUCUGUGGUGACAACAUGAUCUCCCCCCCCCCACUAGUAAACUCACAGCAUCAGUACGCAGGCAGUGUGAUGCAUUUUCAAAGUUCCUCACUUUUCCAGAUCCAACAGGACUCUUGUGCACAUACUCGGUGUUUCCAUGGCAAAUCCACUGUGUAUGAAAAUUAGACCCUUCCAAAAAACAAAUUUACUAGUCAGUAACCAUCAUCAGC
rnacentral:lncRNA from 1 species